GUCUAGGUCCAUGCUACCCUGAAUGAGCCUGAUCCCGUCUGAUCUCGGAAGCUAAGCAGGGUCGGGCCUGGUUAGUACUUGGAUGGGAGACC
rnacentral:rRNA from 1 species